rnacentral:rRNA from 1 species
GUCCUCCUACGGGGCGCAGCAGUGGGGGAUAUUGCACAAUGGGCGAAAGCCUGAUGCAGCGACGCCGCGUGAGGGAAGACGGUCUUCGGAUUGUAAACCUCUGUCUUUGGGGAAGAAAAUGACGGUACCCAAAGAGGAAGCUCCGGCUAACUACGAGCAAGCAGCCGCGGUAAUACGUAGGGAGCAAGCGUUGUCCGGAAUUACUGGGUGUACAGGGAGCGUAGGCGGGAUGGCAAGUAGAAUGU